AACGAACGCUGGCGGCAUGCCUAACACAUGCAGGUCGAACGAGACCUUCGGGUCUAGUGGCGCACGGGUGCGUAACGCGUGGGAACCUGCCCUUAGGUUCGGAAUAACUCCCCGAAAGGGGUGCUAAUACCGGAUAAUGUCUUCGGACCAAAGAUUUAUCGCCUUUGGAUGGGCCCGCGUUGGAUUAGCUAGUUGGUAGGGUAAAAGCCUACCAAGGCGACGAUCCAUAGCUGGUCUGAGAGGAUGAUCAGCCACACUGGGACUGAGACACGGCCCAGACUCCUACGGGAGGCAGCAGUGGGGAAUAUUGGACAAUGGGCGAAAGCCUGAUCCAGCAAUGCUGCGUGAGUGAUGAAGGCCUUAGGGUUGUAAAGCUCUUUUACCCGGGAUGAUAAUGACAGUACCGGGAGAAUAAGCUCCGGCUAACUCCGUG
rnacentral:rRNA from 1 species